rnacentral:rRNA from 1 species
GACGGAGGGUGCAAGCGUUAUUCGGAAUCAUUGGGCGUAAAGAGUGUGUAGGCGGCCGGCUAAGUCAGGUGUGAAAGCCCGGGGCUCAACCUCGGAAUUGCACUUGAAACUGAUCGGCUUGAGUUCGGGAGAGGGAAGCGGAAUGCCGGGUGUAGAGGUGAAAUGCGUAGAUAUCAGGAAGAACACCGGUGGCGAAGGCAGCUUCCUGGCCCGAGAUUGACGCUGAGACACGAAAGCGUGGGGAGCAAACAGG